rnacentral:misc_RNA from 1 species
GACGAAGGUGGCGAGCGUUGUUCGGAAUCACUGGGCAUAAAGCGCGCGUAGGCGGUCCGCUAAGUCGGAUGUGAAAGCCCUCGGCCCAACCGAGGAAUGGCGUCCGAAACUGGUGGACUUGAGGCCCGGAGAGGUGCAUGGAAUUCCUGGUGGAGCGGUGAAAUGCGUUGAUAUCAGGAGGAACACCGGAGGCGAAGGCGAUGCACUGGCCGGGUACUGACGCUGAUGUGCGAAAGCCAGGGGAGCGAACGGG